rnacentral:rRNA from 1 species
AGAGUUUGAUCAUGGCUCAGGAUGAACGCUGGCGGUAUGCCUAACACAUGCAAGUCGAACGGGCAAAAUAGGAGCUUGCUUUGUUUGCUAGUGGCGGACGGGUGAGUAACGCGUGAGUAAUCUGCCUUGAAAUGGGGGAAUAACACUUGGAAACGGGUGCUAAUACCGCGUAGUAUAUUAGUUUCGACAUGAAACUUUUUAUUAUAGUUUUUCGUUUCAAGAUGAGCUCGCGUCCGAUUAGUUUGUUGGUGAGGUAAAUGCUCACCAAGACUGCGAUCGGUAGCCGGGUUGAGAGACUGAACGGCCACAUUGGAACUGAGACACGGUCCAGACUCCUACGGGAGGCAGCAGUGGGGAAUAUUGCACAAUGGGGGGAAAAACCCUUGAUGCAGCAAUACCGCGUGAGGGAUGAAGGCUUUCGGGUUGUAAACCUCUGUCUGAAGGGACGAAUUUUGACGGUACCUUCGAAGGAAGCUCCGGCUAACUACGUGCCAGCCGCCGC